UACGUAGGGGGCAAGCGUUGUCCGGAUUUACUGGGCGUAAAGAGCGUGUAGGCGGCCACGCAGGUCCGUUGUGAAAACUGGAGGCUCAACCUCCAGCUGUCGACGGAAACCGUAUGGCUAGAGUCCGGAAGAGGAGAGUGGAAUCCUGGUGUAGCGGUGAAAUGCGCAGAUAUCAGGGAAGAACACCAAUGGCGAAGCAGCUCUCUGGGGAGCGGUACUGACGCUGACACGGCGAAAGCGUGGGAGCGAGAGAUAGAUACCGUGGUACUCGAGACCAAGUACCUUACUCGUCACCGUAAC
rnacentral:rRNA from 1 species